UUUACUUGAAACUUUCUAAAGGGAAAGUUUCCAUUUCUCUCUGUUGAGGUCAUAUCAGGUCCCUUAUAUUGUGACACUGGAAGGACAAGAAGACCUCUUUCUGCCCUGUUUAUUCCUUUUUGUUUUUAAACAUAACAGGCUUUCGGGUCACCUCCAGCAGCUCCCAGUUCAGCUCACGUGAUUCGGCACAGCUCUCUGACUCUGGCUCUGCUGAUGAGGUUGAUGAAUUUGAAAUCCAAGAUGCUGACAUCAGAAGGAACACAGCCUCAAGCAGCAAAUCCUUCGUUUCCUCCCAGUCCUUCUCCCACUGCUUCCUGCACUCCACGUCUGCUGAGGCGGUGGCCAUGGGGCUCCUGAAGCAGUUUGAGGGGAUGCAGCUUCCAGCCGCCUCGGAGCUGGAGUGGCUUGUCCCGGAGCAUGAUGCCCCUCAGAAG
rnacentral:sRNA from 1 species